UAUUCUGGAUCGAUAUGGCAAGUGCAUUGAGACUGCAGCAACACAUUUAAAACCUUAUAAAAGGUUAUUUAGUUGCUAACAGUGCAGCAGUUUCUGCAAAGCCUGCCAAAAGGUUACAGCUUUUUGGGCAUCAUAAAUUACAGACGACAGGGGAAAAAAAUGGACAAUGACUAGUAUCUAAUUAGGCCCGUGCCAACCCUGCAAGACAUGGUUCAUACAGGUGUCGGGGAGCAGAGCCCUGCACAGCUUGGAAUCAAAUCAAAGCAUCCUCUACUGGCUCCCUUGCCAGUCCAAAUCUGGUACUUAUCCAGCACACUUCACUGAAGUGUUUGAGACACUCAUAAACAAUAGCAUGGCUGGAUCUGUCCUCACAGCUACACUGUGAAAGGAAGAGGCAUCAUUAUUCCUGUUUUAGAGAGGAAAAACUGAGGUGCAUAGAAGGACACAGGAAGUGCAGAGCUGAGAAGAAAUGAGAAGGAAAAUGGAACUUUUUCAAAGCCUCUAAAUAGCAUGACAGAUUUGGUUUUAGUUAGAAAUAUUCUGUUCUUCAAAUCAAUUCAGUUCUUCCUGUAUUUUGUCCAACACAUUUACCCAGUCCUAUAAAAUAAAAUAACCUAUCCGAAUUAGCAGAUUGGGCCUCUUAGGCUACACAUGGGUUCAUGCUGCAAAACUCAGAGCCAAACUCAGCUCAUGAAUACCUCCAAACCUGAUGGUGAACUUGUGAACUGACUGCUACCAUCGGUCAUCAUCAGAGACUGAACACAGGGCCUCCAAUGCUAAAAGAAUGAACAACCACUGCUUGUGUUAAAGAAGCCUCUGGCUCUCAGCUGUAGUAGACUCAUAACCUCUUUGGACCAGAUGGAACUGUAAUACACACCAAACAGUGGGUUACUGAGCUGCAGGGUUUCGCUUCAGGGCCAUCUCUAAUUCAGACAGGACAAUCUCUGCUUUUCAGGAGGUCUGGUUAUUUCUUCUGACCUUCCUCUCCCUGGACCUCCAUUACAUAUCUACUUUGGGGGUGAAAUUCACCUCUGUGCAGAGUCAGCAGAGUAA